CGAGCUGGCUUCAGAACGUCGUGAGACAGGUCGGUCCCUAUCCGUCGUGGGCGGAGGAAAUUUGAGAGGUGCUGUGCUUAGUACGAGAGGACCGGGAUGGACGCACCGCUGGUGUUCCAGUUGUUCUGCCAAGGGCAUAGCUGGGUAGCUAUGUGCGUAAGUGAUAAGUGCUGAAAGCUUCUAAGCAUUAAGCCCGCCUCAAUAUGAGAUUUCCCAUAGCGUAAGCUAGUAA
rnacentral:rRNA from 1 species